GCCCCGAUAGUGUAGCCCGGCCAAGCACCAGAGCUUUUCGGGCUUUUAACGCGGGUUCAAAUCCCGCUCGGGGCG
rnacentral:tRNA from 1 species